rnacentral:rRNA from 1 species
AUAAUACUGGAUAUUAGGCUAUGCCUGGAAUGGUUUGCCUUUGAAAUGUUUUUUUUCGCCUAAGGAUAGGUCUGCGGCUGAUUAGGUCGCUGGUGGGGUAAUGGCCCACCAAGCCGAUGAUCGGUACGGGUUGUGAGAGCAAGGGCCCGGAGAUGGAACCUGAGACAAGGUUCCAGACCCUACGGGGUGCAGCAGGCGCGAAACCUCCGCAAUGUACGAAAGUGCGACGGGGGGAUCCCAAGUGUUAUGCUUUUUUGUAUGACUUUUCAUUAGUGUAAAAAGCUUUUAGAAUAAGAGCUGGGCAAGACCGGUGCCAGCCGCCGCGGUAACACCGGCAGCUCGAGUGGUAGCUGUUUUUAUUGGGCCUAAAGCGUUCGUAGCCGGUUUGAUAAGUCUUUGGUGAAAGCUUGUAGCUUAACUAUAAGAAUUGCUGGAGAUACUAUUAGACUUGAAGUCGGGAGAGGUUAGAGGUACUACCGGGGUAGGGGUGAAAUCCUAUAAUCCUGGGAGGACCACCUGUGGCGAAGGCGUCUAACUGGAACGAUCUUGACGGUGAGUAACGAAAGCCAGGGGCGCGAACCGGAUUAGGUACCCGGGUAGUCCUGGCCGUAAACGAUGUGGACUUGGUGUUGGAAUGGCUUUGAGUUGUUCCGGUGCCGAAGGGAAGCUGUUAAGUCCACCGCCUGGGAAGUACGGUCGCAAGACUGAAACUUAA